UAACCGUAGUAAAUCUAGAGCUAAUACAUGCUAAAAAUCCUGGACGCGGCAACGCGGAAGGGACGAGUUUAUUAGAUUAAAAACCGACACCUCUCCGCGAGGGGAGGUAGCACAGGUGAUUCACAGUAACCGAUCGGAUCGUCGGCCCCGCCGACGACGAUGCAUACGAGUUUCUGCCCUAUCAACUUUAGAUGGUAGAGUAUCGGUCUACCAUGGUCGUAACGGGUGACGGGGGAUUAGGGUUCGAUUCCGGAGAGGGAGCCUGAGAAACGGCUACCACUUCCAAGGAAGGCAGCAGGCGCGCAAAUUACCCAAUCCCGACACGGGGAGGUAGUGACAACGCUUGGCUGAAGUAAUGAUUGAUAGGGACAGUUGGGGGCAUUAGUAUUUAGUUGUCAGAGGUGAAAUUCUAGGAUUUACUAAAGACUGACCAAUGCGAAAGCAUUUGCCAAGGAUGUUUUCAUUAAUCAAGAACGAAAGUAGGGGGAUCGAAGACGAUCAGAUACCGUCGUAGUCUCUACCGUAAACUAUGCCGACCAGGGAUCCGGAGAGUUUGCAUGGAUGACUCCCCGGGCACCUUGUGAGAAAUCAUAAGUGUUUGGGUUUUGGGGGGAGUAUGGUCGCAAGGCUGAAACUUAAAGGAAUUGACGGAAGGGCACCACCAGGAGUGGAACCUGCGGCUUAAUUUGACUCAACACGGGGAAACUUACGAGGUCAGGACACUGUGAGGAUUGACAGAUUGAAAGCUCUUUCUUGAUUCAGUGGGUGGUGGUGCAUGGCCGUUCUUAGUUGGUGGAGUGAUUUGUCUGGUUAAUUCCGUUAACGAACGAGACCUUAACCUGCUAAAUAGUCACGCGAACCGGUCCGCAAGGGCUCAAAGUUCGCGGCUCGACUUCUUAGAGGGACUAUUCGCACCCGCCAGCGAAUGGAAGUUUGAGGCAAUAACAGGUCUGUGAUGCCCUUAGAUGUUCUCGGCCGCACGCGCGUUACACUGACGGAGUCAACGAGCGUUUUUCCUUGCCCGAUAGGGUUGGGUAACCUCCUGAAACUCCGUCGUGAUGGGGAUAGAUCAUUGCAAUUAUUGAUCUUGAACGAGGAAUUCCUAGUAGGCGCGAGUCAUCAACUCGCGCCGAUUACGUCCCUGCCCUUUGUACACACCGCCCGUCGCUCCUACCGAUUGAACGGUCCGGCGAGAACUCCGGAUGGUCGGUGCGCAGGGGGUCAAACCCUGCGUCCGUGCCAGAAGCUAUUCGAACCUUACCGUUUAGAGGAAGGAGAAGUCGU
rnacentral:rRNA from 1 species